rnacentral:rRNA from 1 species
UACGAAGGGUGCAAGCGUUACUCGGAAUUACUGGGCGUAAAGCGUGCGUAGGUGGUGAGUUAAGUCUGUCGUGAAAGCCCCGGGCUCAACCUGGGAAUGGCGAUGGAUACUGGCUCGCUAGAGUGCGGUAGAGGAGAGUGGAAUUCCCGGUGUAGCAGUGAAAUGCGUAGAGAUCGGGAGGAACACCAAUGGCGAAGGCAGCUCGCUGGGACGUGACUGACGCUGAGACGCGAAAGCGUGGGGAGCAAACAGG